AAAGGUCCAAAGUCCUUCCA
rnacentral:misc_RNA from 1 species